UACGAGGGGCGAGCGUUGUUCGGAAUCACUGGGCGUAAAGGGCGCGUAGGCGGCUUUAUAAGUCGGGGGUGAAAGCCUGUGGCUCAACCACAGAAUUGCCUUCGAUACUGUAGAGCUUGAGACCGGGAAAGAGGUAAGUGGAACUGCGAGUGUAGAGGUGAAAAUUUCGUAGAUAUUCGCAAGAACACCAGUGGCGAAAGG
rnacentral:rRNA from 1 species